ACAACUCGGAUUCUAUUGCUGAAAAUGAAGUUUGGUGGUGUUAUUUUGUUCUUACUGGUUCUAUUUACACUUGUCCUGAUUUCAUCGGAAGGAAGAAACCUUCAAAUUUCUCCAGAAUCGAAGAUUAAUGACCCAUCUGGAUUGAUGACUAAAUUAAAUAAAGGAGAAGAACGUGAAGGUGGUUGUUGGAAGUGUUGGGAUGAUCAUGGUCGACAUCGUCGCCUAUUGACCAUAUUGUUGGGUUAAAUGUCGAUAUUCUAAUGAAAGCAUGUGUUGUAUUGAUUCAUCUAUUACAAGUAAACAUAUAUGUAAUAUGCUAAUUUGAAUAAAAGGUUGAAGAUUUUUAUA